rnacentral:rRNA from 1 species
AUUGAACGCUGGCGGCAGGCUUAACACAUGCAAGUCGAGCGGAGUGAUGGUGCUUGCACUAUCACUUAGCGGCGGACGGGUGAGUAAUGCUUAGGAAUCUGCCUAUUAGUGGGGGACAACAUUCCGAAAGGAAUGCUAAUACCGCAUACGUCCUACGGGAGAAAGCAGGGGAUCUUCGGACCUUGCGCUAAUAGAUGAGCCUAAGUCGGGUUAGCUAGUUGGUGGGGUAAAGGCCUACCAAGGCGACGAUCAGUAGCGGGUCUGAGAGGAUGAUCCGCCACACUGGGACUGAGACACGGCCCAGACUCCUACGGGAGGCAGCAGUGGGGAAUAUUGGACAAUGGGGGAAACCCUGAUCCAGCCAUGCCGCGUGUGUGAAGAAGGCCUAUGGUUGUAAAGCACUUUAAGCGAGGAGGAGGCUACUGAGACUAAUACUCUUGGAUAGUGGACGUUACUCGCAGAAUAAGCACCGGCUAACUCUGUGCCAGCCGCCGCGGUAA